rnacentral:rRNA from 1 species
GACGAACGCUGGCGGCGUGCUUAACACAUGCAAGUCGAACGGAAAGGCCCUGCUUUUGUGGGGUGCUCGAGUGGCGAACGGGUGAGUAACACGUGAGUAACCUGCCCUUGACUUUGGGAUAACUUCAGGAAACUGGGGCUAAUAACGGAUAGGAGCUCCUGCUGCAUGGUGGGGGUUGGAAAGUUUCGGCGGUUGGGGAUGGACUCGCGGCUUAUCAGCUUGUGGGUGGGGUAGUGGCUUACCAAGGCUUGGACGGGUAGCCGGCCUGAGAGGGUGACCGGCCACAUUGGGACUGAGAUACGGCCCAGACUCCUACGGGAGGCAGCAUUGGGGAAUAUUGCACAAUGGGCGGAAGCCUGAUGCAGCAACGCCGCGUGCGGGAUGACGGCCUUCGGGUUGUAAACCGCUUUCGCCUGUGACGCAGCGUGAGUGACGGUAAUGGGUAAAGAAGCACCGGCUAACUACGUG